GACGAACGCUGGCGGCGUGCCUAAUACAUGCAAGUAGAACGCUGAAACUUGGUGCUUGCACCGAGCGGAUGAGUUGCGAACGGGUGAGUAACGCGUAGGUAACCUGCCUGGUAGCGGGGGAUAACUAUUGGAAACGAUAGCUAAUACCGCAUAAGAGUAGAUGUUGCAUGACAUUUGCUUAAAAGGUGCAAUUGCACCACUACCAGAUGGACCUGCGUUGUAUUAGCUAGUUGGUGGGGUAACGGCUCACCAAGGCGACGAUACAUAGCCGACCUGAGAGGGUGAUCGGCCACACUGGGACUGAGACACGGCCCAGACUCCUACGGGAGGCAGCAGUAGGGAAACUUCGGCAAGGGACGGAAGUCUGACCGAGCAACGCCGCGUGAGUGAAGAAGGUUUUCGGAUCGUAAAGCUCUGUUGUAAGAGAAGAACGAGUGUGAGAGUGGAAAGUUCACACUGUGACGGUAUCUUACCAGAAAGGGACGGCUAACUACGUG
rnacentral:rRNA from 1 species